GAUCAUUGUGGAGAGCGAAUAAUCAAGCCUCCUUUAGACUAGCUCUGUGCUGCCCAUUUAGAGAUCUUGAACUCUUGUAAAAGUUGAACCCAUCCCAUCCAUCAUGGAAUCUCCUUAGUGCUUUUUUUUCUUGGAGUGAUCAAUCUUCUCCCCUUUUCUUCCCACUUCCCACCCCUGGACCCACGUCUCCUAGCUCAGAAGUCCAGAUGGACAGGAGGGUCACCACUCAGAAUGACAGUCCCCGAAAGGGGGCACAGUUGUUGUCUUCUCUAUAUACUGCUGUGUUCCCAGCACCUAGAAUGAUUCUUGACACACGAGUUGCUUUGGUGGACAUCAGGACAGCCUGGGAAGACAGCGAUGAAUCGGAAUGCUCAGGGCACCCAGCAGCAUCUGAGAGAGGGGAGGUGUUACUAAGAGGGACCCCUGUGAAUCCCUACUGCAUUUGACCCCUGCUCUUUCAACAAAAUUUUUUACUUCUGCUUUAACAGAGGCAAGGAAAAUAGUAAAAUAUAUUAAAGUUGGCUUGUAUUAAAAAAACCCUCCUUUGUAAUUAGGGCAGUAAAUUAUAGACACAGGAUUCCAUAUAGGCCAUAAAUUGAAUAUUUUAGAGAGAGUAGAGUUGGG
rnacentral:lncRNA from 1 species